rnacentral:rRNA from 1 species
CAUUACUGAAGGCAAUAGAGAGCCUUGAGACUGCGUCUUCAAUGGCGUGUGCUCGGACUCUCAUUCUUUCUUAUCCACAUACACCUUUGUGCACCAAUGGGACGCAAGUCCCCUUUUUCAUACAAAUACCAAGUUAUAUGCAUGUCAUUUAACAUAUUAAUUAUGUACAACUUUCAACAACGGAUCUCUUGGCUUUCGCAUCGAUGAAGAACGCAGCGAAUGUGCGAGACGUAAUGUGAAUUGCAGAAUUCAGUGAAUCAUCGAAUCUUUGAACGCAUCUUGCGCUCCUUGGUAUUCCGAGGAGCAUGCCUGUUUGAGUGUCGUGAAUUACUCUCAGUUUCUUACUUUGUUUUGAAACUGGACUUGAAUGCGUGUCGUGGGAUCGCACACGACUCAUUCUAAAUGCAUUAGCGGUCUGCCCUUGAUCACACAACAAUGUGAUAAGUUGAAAAGCAUUGGUCGUGUUCAAAACAGUGGCGAGACGGCUUCGAACUGUCCGGACCAACGGACAAACAAUUGAUCUCAUUUGACCUCAAAUCAGGUAGGACUACCCGCUGAACUUAAGCAUAUCAAUA